rnacentral:rRNA from 1 species
UACGUAGGGUGCGAGCGUUGUCCGGAUUUAUUGGGCGUAAAGAGCUCGUAGGCGGUUUGUCGCGUCGGCCGUGAAAUCUCCACGCUUAACGUGGAGCGUGCGGUCGAUACGGGCAGACUUGAGUUCGGUAGGGGAGACUGGAAUUCCUGGUGUAGCGGUGAAAUGACGCAGAUAGUCAGGAGGAACACCGGUGGCGAAGGCGGGUCUCGUGGGCCGAUACUGACGCUGGAGGAAGCGAAA